rnacentral:rRNA from 1 species
UACAUGGGGUGCAAACGUUGCUCGGAAUUAUUGGGCGUAAAGAGCUCGUAGGCGGUCUGUCGCGUCGGCUGUGAAAACCCGGGGCUCAACCCCGGGCCUGCAGUCGAUACGGGCAGACUAGAGUGCGGUAGGGGAGACUGGAAUUCCUGGUGUAGCGGUGAAAUGCGCAGAUAUCAGGAGGAACAGCCGGUGGCGAAGGCGGGUCUCUGGGCCGUAACUGACGCUGAGGAGCGAAAGCGUGGGGAGCGAACAGG